GAUGAACGCUGGCGGCGUGCCUCAAACAUGCAAGUCGAGCGAGGCUAUGAAUUACCGCAAGGUAAGGCAUAGCCUAGCGGCGAACGGGUGAGUAACACGUGGGUAACCUACCUGGAAGACAGGGAUAACGAUUCGAAAGGGUCGCUAAUACCUGAUAAUAUCCGUCUGCCGGAUGGCGGAGGGAAGAAAGGGGAAACCCGCUUUCAGAUGGGCCCGCGUCCCAUCAGCUAGUUGGUAAGGUAAAGGCUUACCAAGGCGACGACGGGUAGCCGGUCUGAGAGGAUGUACGGCCACACUGGGACUGAGAUACGGCCCAGACUCCUACGGGAGGCAGCAGUUGGGAAUCUUAGGCAAUGGACGAAAGUCUGACCUAGCGACGCCGCGUGAGGGAAGAAGGCCUUCGGGUUGGUAAACCUCUGUCAUGGGGAAGAAGGAAGUGACGGUACCCCAAGAGGAAGCCCUGCUAACUACGUG
rnacentral:rRNA from 1 species